AACGAUAUAGUUUAAGUUAAGAUGGGUGUUCUGCGAGCAUUCGGUGAGGUGUUUCUAUCGUUG
rnacentral:tRNA from 1 species